UAGCCUUGUCUUUGAUGGGAAAAAUUUUACUUCAUUCGUUUUAACAAACAUUUUACUAUAUAAAAAGACACUAAUCGGAGGCCAUCGCUUAUUUUAGUCGUUGCAGUCGAUAACAGGUACCCUUCGCUUUUGGGAGCCUAUAUUUUGAUAGCAAUGCUGGCAUAAUGAAUAUGACGAAUUACGAAUGCUGCUCUACUAAUUGAACAUGUUUCAUCUAUGGAAAACAUAACUAACUUUGGAUACACGAAAGAAUGUAUAAUUGUCGUGUAUCAAUCCGGAAAACGUUUGAUGUUCACUUGAAACUUGUGCGGCGUAACACAGUCGUGUAUUUUACUCUGAAUGGAUUUUGUUUACAUAAAACUCAAACUAACAAUUUUUACUAAUAAAUU